GAUGAACGCUGGCGGCGUGCCUAAUACAUGCAAGUCGAGCGAACGGACGAGAAGCUUGCUUCUCUGAUGUUAGCGGCGGACGGGUGAGUAACACGUGGAUAACCUACCUAUAAGACUGGGAUAACUUCGGGAAACCGUAGCUAAUACCGGAUAAUAUUUUGAACCGCAUGGUUCAAAAGUGAAAGACGGUCUUGCUGUCACUUAUAGAUGGAUCCGCGCUGCAUUAGCUAGUUGGUAAGGUAACGGCUUACCAAGGCAACGAUGCAUAGCCGACCUGAGAGGGUGAACGGCCACACUGAGACUGAGACACGGUCCAGACACCUAGGGGAGGCAGAAGUAGGGAAUCUUCCGAAAUGGGCGGAAGCCUGACGGAGCAACGCCGCGUGAGUGAUGAAGGUCUUCGGAUCGUAAAACUCUGUUAUUAGGGAAGACCAUAUGUGUAAGUAACUGUGCACAUCUUGACGGUACCUAAUCAGAAAGCAACGGCUAACUACGUG
rnacentral:rRNA from 1 species